AUCGCUUCUCGGCUCCAAUGAGCUAAGAUCAAAGUGUAGUAUCUGUUCUUAUCAGCUUAAUAUCUGAUACAUUCCGCAAUGCGGAAUCAGAAUAUUAAACUGAUUUUUGGAAGUUGACGGAAGUCUCGAGCUUGCUCGUUUUCCGUCGGAGUCGGUCCAGCAUUGCAUUCCCGCUGGAAUUGGCUCGAUUUAG